CCUACGGGUGGCAGCAGUGAGGAAUAUUGGUCAAUGGACGAGAGUCUGAACCAGCCAAGCAGCGUGAAGGAUGACUACCCUAUGGGUUGUAAACUUCUUUUAUAUGGGAAUAAAAUGUUCCACGUGUGGGAUUUUGUAUGUACCAUAUGAAUAAGGAUCGGCUAACUCCGUUCCAGCAGCCGCGGUAAUACGGAGGCUACGAGCGUUAUCCGGAUUUAUUGGGGUUAACGGGAGCGUAGGUUGAUUGUUAAGUCAGGUGUGAACGUUUGGGGCUCAACCGUAAAAUUGCAGUUGAAACUGGCAGUCUUGAGUACAGUAGAGGAGGGCGGAAUUCGUGGUGUAGCAGUGAAAUGCGUAGAUAUCACGAAGAACUCCGAUUGCGAAGGCAGCUCACUGGACUGCAACUGACACUGAGGCUCGAAAGUGUGGGUAGCAAACAGGAUUAGAUACCCGAGUAGUC
rnacentral:rRNA from 1 species